rnacentral:lncRNA from 1 species
UCUCCCUCUCGCCUCUUUAUCUUCCGGCAAGGCGUUGUGGUGGUCGAGGCGAUGGCGAGGGGUUGUGGUGGUCGAGGCGGUGUUGGGCGUUUGUGGUGGUCGAGGCGGUGUUGGAGGGCUGCGGUGGUCGGCGGUGUUGGGGGCUGCGGUGGUCGGCGGUGUUGGGGGCUGCGGUGGUCGGCUGUGUUGGGGGCUGCGGUGGUCGGCGGUGUUGGUGCUGCGGUGGUUGGCGGUGUUGGGGGCUGUGGUGGUCGGUGGUGUGGGGGGGCUGCGGUGGUCGUGUUGGGGGGGUUGUGGUGGUCGGCGGUGUUGGCUUCUAGGGUUUGACGGCUAUUGUGUUUACGACUAGGGUUAGCGAGAUUUGGGUGUUGUUGGGUGCUAGGGUUUGGUAGUACACCGUAGUAGACUAUAGUACACUGUAGUAUACUUUGCAUUUAGGGUUUGGAUAAAGUAAACUAUAGUAGAUCAUAGUACACUGUAGUACACCAUAACCAUAGUAUAUCAUAGUGUACCAUAGUGUUUCAUAGCCUACUACGAUUUUGACAACAGAUAAAAUUAAAAAAAUGUAAAUUGAAUAAAAAAACGAAAAAACAAUUUUUUUUUAUAAUUUUCAAUAUUAUGUAGGAAAAAAAAUAUUUUUUUAUGUUUUUUAUAAUAGUGUAAAAAUGAUAUAAUUAGAUUUUUAUAAUAAUGAAAACAAUACGACAUGAAAAAAAAGAAAUAUGUAGAAAAAAGAAAAAGAGAAAUAUGUUCUACGUGAAAAAAAUAAUAAAAAAAUGCUAGAUGGAAAAAUGAAAAUGAUAAAUGUUGUUAAAAUAUUAUUUGAUGUAUAUUACAAUUUUUAUUUGUUAAGGGCAUUUUUGGAAUGAAAUUUAUAAAGGAUGUGAAGCAAAGAUUUAGUUAGACUUGUUAUUUAGUUCUAAUAAGUUUUGUCACUAGGGACCUAUAUCUUAAGACCCCUUAAAUUUAUCUUGGCUAAUCUUUUCUUGUCAACAAAACGAGACCUAAAUAUACAAAAUAAGAAAUAAAAACACUUAAAUCACUAAAUAAUUUAAAAUAUUGGUUACAUAUUGAUUUUGUUUUUCCAAUAUUAAAAUCUCACAAAAAAUAAAUGCCCGUGCAUUUUUCCAUUACAUAUAUAAUUGAAGUGUGGAAUUUGCUAAUAUAAGAAAAUAUAGGGUGAAAACCGCCAACCUAUCAUUUGUGGAGUUCAAAAUGCAAUUGAUGCAAAAAUUCAAACAACUUAUGUUUAAAGGCUUAAUUUCACUUUGCACCCCUGAAAUUGAGUAUUUUGACACUUUGCAGAAUUGAAAAUAAUAAUAGCGUUUUGCACCCUCAAAACACAAUAAAUCAUUCAAUGUACUAUGAAUUUAACAAUAACGGCAAUUUCAUUUGUUAUUGGUUUUUUUUUUGGGGCAUGCAAAAUAACAAAUUAAAUUAUUAUUUUCUUCAACUUCCAACCUAAUUUUGAGCUCACAAAGUGCAAAAAAGUAAGAAAUCACACCGAAUUAUUGAAAAAGAAUAUCUUACAACAAAAUAAAAUAAACUUUUAUCACUAAAUUAUUCGUUUAUAGAUAUUUACUGUAACUAGUGGAAAUAUUAGGUAAAAAAUGAAAGAAAAUAUGAUUUUUCAGAUAACUUGAUAACAAAAUAGUUGAAGAAUUUUUUUCGUAAAAUAUUUAUUUGUGAUAAAUAAAAAUAUAAUUUCUAAAUAUGUUGAUGAAAUGUAUUUUUAUUAUUGCACUUUAUAAUUUCAAAAUGAUUGACGAAAAAAAUUGAUUUGACAUUUGUCCUCCUAGAAAAAAACCAAAAAAAAUAUUAAAUUACUUCUAUUAGCUUUAGAAAAUUAAUUGGGAUGCAUGGUGCAUAAUUUAUUGUAUUUUGAUAGUGCAAAAUGCUAUUAAUUUAUUUGGAAGAUGUAAAAACUCAUCAUAUUUCGGUAAUUACUCUACAACCCUUCAACUAUGAAUUUUCUUACACAUUUAUCCUUAUCAUGUCAAAUUUAGUGAAAUAUUAUCCAUUUGCUUCCGUUUUAUUCCAUUCGAGCUCCACAAUUUGAAACGAGAUGAACCCGAAAUCAAUAUCCAUUUACGGUAACCGUCUUCUCAAUUUACAUGGAUUCUGCUGCCUAUUUUCUAGACUAUAUUUUUGCGUUUUCAAAUCUUCUGUGGUUUUUCAGUGAUUACUGAUUAGUGAUGUUGGGGUUUAAUUUGGGGGUUAUAUUUAUUUAAUUUUCAUGUGAUUAUAGAUCCGAGAAAUAAGGCGUGAUUAAAUUUGAAAAAAAUAUAUAUUUAUAUUUUGAUGUGAAUUGUUUGCAUUUGUUCGUAGAAUAUUAUUUGAAUUACCUAAACCUAAUCAUCUGUUGUAGUAAUUAUUCAUAAACAAGUAUGGUAAUAUAAUUUCGAUUUCUCACUUAAAUACUGUAUCAAGAAUCAUAAGAACAUCUAAUUUGGAGUUAGGUUUAUGGAUUUGUGAUUCACUCAUCUGAAUUUGGGGGUUUUCAUUCCUAGGUUAUAUAGAUUCUGCAGGGUUUAAGAGAUUUCACUACACACACAUUUCAGUGUGUGAAUAUGAAUACUACUCUCAAACACGAAUAUCGAUUUUCUAGUAUUUGUCGAUUCGAAGAUGUGUUAGAGAAUUUCUCAGUUUAUGUAUAUGGUCUACAUGUAUUAUAUUAGGAUAAGCAUCAUUUGAAUUGAUUCACAAAGUCAAUGAGAGAUCCCUUCCUUGAGUUGACUUUCGUAUAUCUAUAUUUUUAUUUUUAUUCUGAUUUUUUCGUUAUCGAAAAUGAAUUAAUUACCACCUUGUUAAUGAAUGACGUGCAGAAUGGUGAUGGUGCAGGUGCUUGGUCAAAGUCACACAUUCCUAAAUUAGUUGCAAAUAAACGGGGUUUCGCCAAAUCCAUGGAGCCAAUUUUUUGCUAAGUUGUAACCAUUUCUACAACUGUAUCGAAUUUUAUAAUAUACAUACAUUUUUGCGUAAUUUUUUGUGUUUCGGAAUCCGAUGAAGGCGCAAGAACUUGCUGCAUUGGAAGCAGAUUUGAACAGGAGAGAAACGGUCGGUUUAUUUCUCGUCUGACUUUACGCUGUUGAUUAGAAGUUAUGUUGGAAAUUGAUGCAUCUGUGUUGAAUCUUGGUUUAUUUCAUUCCUUCGUUUUUUUAUGUUUUUUAUGCUCUUCUCGUAAUCGGAAAGAGUAGUAAUCCGUACAUAUUUAUUCAUCUGCUCUGUUCAUAUGCGAUGAUGUUCUUAUGUUAGAUGAUGGUCAACUAUGGAAAAAAAAGCAUUGCAUCGAAAUAUUUAUCGGUUUUACUUUAGCCUGUUUUCAUUUACGAAUUUUAUGACUGUAAAUUGUAAUCGAUUCUCGUUGAUUUCAGGACAUUCGACGUAGGGAAGAAGCUGUUUCAGGGGGUAAGCUUCGUUCUUGGACUAUUUGUCGUGUUCCGAUUUAUUUUGCUUUUAACUUUUUUUUUUCGUCAUUCCUCUGCUUCAGCUGUAGUUCGGACGGAUAAACGAAAUUGGCCCCCGUGUUUCCCCAUUAUUCACCACGACAUAGCCAAAGAAAUCCCGAUUCAUGCUCAGAAGCUGCAGUAUCUCGCCUUUCUAACUUGGCUAGGUUGUGUAUUAUAUGGUGUUCUCUUGUUUAUUUAAGAAUCGAUAUUCGUCGUGUCGUGUCUGAAAAUUUAAGUUACGUUUAUCGUCACAGGCAUUGUUCUUUGCCUCGUGUUCAAUGUUGUCGCCAUCACUGUUUGUUGGAUAAAGGGCGGCGGUAAGUUCCUUUUGUUCGGCAUUUUUUUUCCUUCCGUUUUCCGAUCUCUCGUCAAAGUCAACGAAGGUGCCAUGUUUUUGUAGGGGUCAAGAUUUUCUUCCUUGCAAUAAUCUAUGCCUUCAUCGGAUGCCCGCUUUCGUACGUACUAUGGUACAAACCUUUGUAUAACGCGAUGAGGUACGUCUGUAUGCACAAUUAUUCUCCGUACGAUCUCGUCUCGGGUAUUACUUUGAUUCUUUGUAUUAACGGCAGUUUCUCCGAUAUUCAGGACUGAUAGUGCCUUGAGAUUCGGCUGGUUUUUCAUGUUCUAUUUGGUACGUUUAAUUUUCGUCGUUGAAUAUUUAAAAAAAAAAUAUCGACUAAGGCGUAACCGUUAACUCAAUUUCACUGUGCAGCUUCAUAUUGCUUUUUGCAUAUUCGCUGCAAUUGCACCGCCGGUUAUCUUUCGCGGAAAAUCAUUAACGUAAGUUUGAAUUAACUCGUCUUUAUGAACCGAAUGUGUUUUCUUUUUUCACUUUAUCGACUAAUGUUUACCGUUUUUUUUCUUGGUAUUAGGGGCAUCCUUGCUGCAAUUGAUGUCUUCUCCGACAGUGCGUUUGUCGGGGUGAGUGUUACUAUUGAUGCUUAUACGUGUAUAGUAGAACCUCGAUAAACUGUUAACCUCGUUUAAAUAAUAAUUUAUGUCGGUCCCGACUCGGUGAAAACGUAUAAAACUAUUAUUUCGAUAAUUUAAUAUUUCGCGAAAUUAAUAGAAUUCUGCUAGUCCCGACUGUAUUAACUUUAUAUGAAUACAGUUAAACCUUUAUAAGUUAAUACAGACGAGACUAGGAAAAUUCUAUUAAUUUAGUGAAUUGUUAAAUUAUCGACUUAAUAAUAUAACACGUUUUCACCGAGUCGGGACCGAGAAAAAAUAUUAAUUUUAUCGAGGUUAAUAAUUUAUCGAGUAUUAAUUUAAUGCAGAUAUUUUACUUGGUUGGAUUUGGAUUGUUCUGUUUGGAAUCGCUGUUGAGCUUCUGGGUACUCCAGGUUAGAGAAUUAAUAACUGCAUUUUUUUAGUUAGUAAAAGUUUUUAUUUGCAUUUAUUGUCUUAAAGUUCGGGAAAAGUGUACUUUUAGUCCCUUUAGUUUACCUGGAUUUCAUUAUUGGCCUUCCUCAUUGUUUACAAAAAACAGAUUUAGUCUCUCAUGUUUUAAAAAUUCAACAUUGUUAGUUAUUUCCGCCAAUUUUCCGGUACUACUGACGGAAUCAAUCAUGUGUUGAUCAAUGCCUUAACUGAAGGACUAACUAUAAAUCGACGGAAAUGAUCAGGAGCGUUUAAUUAUUGAAACAUGAGGGAGUAAAUGUGUCUUUUUGUGAACACGAGGACCAAAUGUGAAAUCGUUUACAAACUUGAGGGAUGAAAACUGUAAAUUUCUCCUUAAAAUUCUGAUGUAGUUCGUAUGUAAUGUGACUAGGGCUGGAAAUUGAACAAUACAUGAAUUCUACUUGGACGUAUAUUUUCGAAAAUAUUUUUGAAAAUGUUGAUUUUAGUCCUGAAAAUUAUAUAAUAAUAUCAAUAUUAUAUGUAAUUUAUAAUGUGGUUUUUUUUUUCUAAUCUAUUUUUGUUGAUUUUUUUUUUUAUCUCUUUUGCAGAAAAUAUAUUCGUUUAUUCGGGGGAACAAGUAAUUCUGCAAAUUUCAUUGAGAUGAGUUGCCCAAGUACAUAUUUUUCCCCUCGAGUGAGUUUGCGUGAAGUUAUUCGUUUUUUUAGGUGAUUUUUUGUUUUGAUGAUUCAUUUUAUUUAAUAUGUUAAUUAUCAUAGGGUGGCUGAAUUGUGCAUUAUAAUUUCUCUUUGGGUAAUGUAUUGAUAUAUUUUUUUCUUAGUAAUUAGGAUUUGUUACUUAAUGUUUUUAUUUUUUAAUACUUUUUUCAUUAAUAAAAAGAGUGCUAAUGGUGUUUAUAUUUUGUUGAUUGGCAAUUUUACACAUGAGUGUAGGACCAUCGGAUUUCUAAAUUGUUAGAAGAUGUUACGCUCGUCACUCUGUGUAUUUCAUCGAGUUAUAUUUUAUCGUAUACGUGUAUAAAUUUGUACAUAUAUGUGACACGUCUACAUUACUAUGGAUACAAGAGCGUGACAAAAAUAGAGAUAACAAAAUUGGCAAGUGAUUAGAGAGCUGUUACGCACAUAGUAAUUACAGAAUUGUCACUCAUCAAGUAAUUAUUGUAGUUACAAAACUGUCACUCAACAUCGUAAUUAUAGAAUUAUCUCUCAACAAAUAAUUACAGAACCGCCAUUGACAGUAAUUAUAAAAGUGUCACUCAUCAAGUAAUUACGAAACUGUUAUUCAUCAAGUAGUUAUAGAACUCUCAUUCAGCAGCAAUUAGAGAACUACCACUCAACAAAUAAUUACGUAACUGCCACUCAACAAAUAAUUACACAAUCGCCACUCAACAACAAUAUGAACUUGUUACGUCUUAUUUUCAGAAGAGAUUCAUAAAAUAUUUGAACGAGCUUAUAAGCUAUUCUUUACUCGUUGUUGUCCAUUUAAAAAAAAAAAAAAAAAAAAAACUUGAACAUAUUACAAUGGUUUUGAAAGUCAAAAUUUCAAUUUGGAUCAAAACAAAAAGGUCCAUACUAGUUUACCAUGGCACUCAUCCACACACAAACACACCCCACACCCUCACAACCCUCAUCUCUUACCAAUCCAUCAUCCUCUUGCCACGUGGCACAUAAUAUCCAAACUUCAACACAUGACCACCAACCCUUUCUCCAUGCCUACUUUUAAUCACAAACACAUCAUCCAUCUCCUUAUCAAAAUAUUUCACCAUUUUAUUUAAUCAUAAUAAUAACACUAAUUAUUAUUAUUAGAUAAAAUCAAUUGUAAAAGGAGAUAAUUUAAAACUCCAAACUCCAAUUUUUUCAAUAAAAAUAAUAAUUUUUAAUUUUGUGUAUAAAAACCCAAUAAAAAGUGACACGUCACACUCCCCCUCAUCUAAACCAAACAGGCUUUUCUGUCCAACUAAACUGCCACCUGUAUUUUACUCUCACUAUAGCCUCUUCUUUUAUUUUUUUAUUUAUCCUCACACUUCUUCUUUUUCUUUUUUUUAUAUAAUAAUUUAAUUUCAUUAAAAAAAAUUAAUGUCCUCAAAACAAUUUAAAAUUAAAAAAAAAAAUCCCAAUAACAUCACUCCCACACCACUCCAUUUCUAGCUUCAUCUCUCUAAACACACACUUCUAGAGAGAGAAACAAGAGAGAGAAAGAGAGAAACAACAAUGGCGGUCUGUACUGUGUACACAGUCCAAUCCCUCAACUCAACCUACUCAAUCUCCACCACACCGGCGAAGAAAAACAACUUGCUGGGUUUCAACCAGAAGCAGGCCGUCGUUUUCUACAGCCGGAAAACCACCACCGCCACCAGAAGCGGCAGACCCGGCGCCGCCGUGAUAUCAUGCUCCGCCGCGGACAAAACAAUCGUGAUUGGGCUGGCGGCGGACUCCGGCUGCGGGAAGAGCACAUUCAUGCGGCGGCUGACGAGCGUAUUCGGCGGCGCCGCCGAGCCACCGAAGGGCGGGAACCCGGACUCGAACACGCUGAUCAGCGACACCACCACCGUGAUUUGUCUCGACGACUACC